ensembl:lncRNA
CCUGUUCUCUCAUAUUUCCUUAACUAAAGAUGGCCUCUUUAGCAAGUUAGAGCUUUUUCAGUCUUAAGCAAUGCCUUUUUGCCCGCUUAGUUGAUGACUGAAAGGAAGAGAGAAUUUGAUCACUGAAUUUUCUGACCUGUCAUUGUGGAUCCGACCAAGUAGUGUUGCAACAAGGCUGAAAAUUGGAUUAGCUGCAUUUAGAAGAGAAACUUAAACCACUCCAGCAAAAAAGAAAGCACAUCCUUGGAUCUGAGAAGGCACGCGUGUGGUGAGAUGGAAGCAAGGACACGCAAAAAGGAAAUUUAGCACCUCUUGGAUCAGACCUUGAAUGCCACAGUGCUAGGUGUUUAACUGAUGUCCAGGAAGGAGAGAAACUAAUAUUAUGAUGAAAUACAAUGAAUCUGCCUCAGAUUCUCUAAUUCAUCUAUCUGCCAAAGCAGUCUUUUGGAAAGAUGACCACCACAUCAUGUUUCUUCAUCAGUCUGCAGUUGACAUGUUUCAGGAGUAUUAGAAAUAAGCAAUAAUCAGAGGACAAGGAUUAUAUAAACUGAUAAUAUUUACAGCCUCUUUUGCCACUGUCAAAACUGGAAAUUUUCCACUUUUAGUCACUGAACUUUUGGAUUCUUAAAUUUUGAGACAUUCUUUCACACUUAGCCUCUGCAUAAGAAUCUUUAGAAGUUUGUACAGCAGGAAGCAACGUGACUGCAACCCAGGAAGAUUUAGAGUAGAUUUGCAAAUCUUUUUUCCAUUAACAUAGGUAAGUAAGCAGGAGAGACUAGCCUGAGUGACUGCUCCUGCAUUCAUAAAACUGUAGUUUUCAAAUUCUUCUGGAGUAUUCUGAGCAAUUUUACUUACAGACUGCUAUCGAAGUUUAAACCUCAUGCUGAUUUAAGGGGUCUUUGGUCAGGGCACCUGUGUAGAGCCACUCUCUUGAUCCUCGACUCUGCUCAUUUGCCUGGUCCAACAGCAUCAGGACAGCAUCUCAUUCCGCAUUCCUCCCAAAAAUGGAAGUGUGUGAGGGGGUAUCUACUGAAUUGAAAAUUAUUUCAAGUGGAUAAAACGAGAGUAGUAUUGGGCUAGUCUGGACAAUGUCAAGUACACACAAGCCAACCUUGCAGGAAUAUGUGGAUAGAAAGGGAAGAACAGCACAUCUUGAAUUCAGCUAGAAACUUCACCAGCUACAUCAUCACAGACAAAAUAAAAAUAGAUUUAUACUCUUCUGAACUUCAUCUUGCCUUUCAAAUGUUUACAUUUGGAUUUGAGGGGGGAAAAACCGUGUCUUGCUUGCUAUGGAGUAUCAACUUGCCUUCAAAAGAUUUACCAGUAAAAGCCUUGCAUAUGUGAUAUUUGUAUGUGUAUGUGAUAAACAGAUCUUAGUGUGGGCCUCCCCUCCGACACCCCUGCUGGAGCUAGCAUUUUAAAGCAGCUUGGAAUCUGAUCCUAUUAACUACUGGACAUAUAUAGCAUAAGAAUUUAUUGAAAUACUUCGGAAAAUUGUGUUUGGGUAAUAUGAUUGAAAUGGAAAUAUACUAAGUGAAUGAUGAAUAUAUAUGAACUGUAUAUUGCAUAUUAGGAAAUGAAGAGAAUGAAAAUUUCAACAUGGGAUAGUUUUAUUGUAUUCUCUUUUAGCUUAGUUUUUCUUGGACUCUAAUACUGAAGCAUAGAGACUUACAUUUAUAAACAUGAAUCUACUAUUUUUAGAUACUUUUUAAAUCGUUGCUGUGAUAAUAGAGCUGGUUUCCUAGGGAAGUUUCUAAAAAUAUGUUUGGUAAAAUCGUAUCUCACAAAGAUUUUUGGAAGGAAUUCUGUGGACAUUUUGUAAAGCUAUACAUAAUUCUCUAUUCAUUGUUUGAGCGCUUAUGGAUAGGAGAAAAGAAAUGGGCAUGGUGAGUGUCUAAUACGUUAAUCAGGAAAAAAAGUUAAGGCACUAGUUAUUCAUGUGCAUUUUGAGAAUGCUUUGUAUGAAAUAACAAUAUAAUUGCUUUGUGACAUUUCUUAGUGUAUUGUGAUUGCUAACAGAGUUUGCUAAAAUACAUAGAAAUAUUUUAAUAGAUGAUUAUAGAAAUAGAAUAAUUAGAAUACCUCUGAAUGAUGUGUAUUUAUAAUCAUUUGAUCGGAUUAUUGCUGUGGGUUUUUUGCGGGGAGUAGGAUUGUUCUGCAUACAACUGUCUGUAAGAAAUUUUAUUAAGGCUGCUUUAUGUGGAUGUAGAUGUUAUUCUGUAAAUGGUCUUUAUAUGUUAGAAUUUGUAUGGCAUUAGAUUUUAUUCUCAAAAUGAGAUUGUUGCACAAGAGGCCAGCCUCAAUGAACACUUUGCCUGUUCAGGGUUGAGUGGGCUUUUUAUUGCUCUGUAUACACAUGAAAAAAGUACUGUUAUAUCAUCUUAUCAAGCAUAGAAGUGGCUGACAUUUUGGUCAUUUCAAUUGUUAAAAUAUAAUUUUGUUGCUUGCUGAGAGGUGUUUCUAGACUGCUUUGUAAAAGAGCUGAAUUCAGGAGAUAGAGAAUAAGACGUUUUGGAGGGCUGUGUAUGUAUAUAUGCAUGCAUAUAUACAAGGAGAGUUCUUGAACAGCCUCCAGGCGUUACUCCAUGCUCAGAUGUUGGUAAUCUACAUAUGUUUUGUAAAAUAUUCUAAUGUUAAAGAGAGGUAGACUUUUCCCCUUCCACCACUGCAAUUGUUUAAAUUGCCUCUGAACAUUAAUUCAUUUCUGGUAGAUAUUGUUAUACAUUUUGUUAUAAACUGUUAUUAAUGUUAGAUAUUUUUGUUUAACAUCUAGUUUUCUACAUGUAUAGACAUCAUUGUAAAUUCAUUUGAACUUAUAAAGGUAGAACCAUUUUUGUUUGCCAAAAGAGAUGGUUAGAUCUAGCCUCUGUGUUCAUUGAAUCAGUAGGUUCUAUUUUUAGGUUGUGGUAAAUACAAUGUGUAGUAUCUCAUCUAACAUGUCAUUGUUUUAUGACAAGAUUCAUCAUGGUGGAAAUGUCCUUGUAACUGGUGGUCUGCCUUUGCUUAUUGGUUUUAGAAACGUUUGCACACAAAUAACACAGUCCUUUGUAUAACAUAGAGAAACCUCUACUUGUGGUAAAAUAGCAUAGGUUACAAAAGUUUUCAGUUGCCGGUGAAAUUUAACUUUUAAUAAUAGUGAAUUGUUAUUUUAAAGUACUUAGUUGAUUAAGCAAUUUAUAAGUUUUUAUGGGAAAUGUUAGCAAUGGCGUAUCAAAUCUGAGUUCAUUAAAUCAUGAGCCGAUCAAAAGAAUGUUUAUGUAUUAUGUGUAUAUAAUGGACAUAGUUAUUUUUUAAAGGAUAAGAAUACUAUAUCUGCAUGUUUCGUAAGUAUAUUAAUUGUAGAAUGAAAACUUACCCAAAUGGUUGUCACAUUGUCACUAUGAGUAAAUAAUUGGGCAGCUGAAGGGGUUUUUGUUAGAUAGUUGUGUGUAAAAAGUUAGAAUAUGUAAUAGUUUUGCUUUAAACUUUCAGUUCUUGAUUUAUAGGGAUUGCUUACAUAUACAUAUGGGGGUGUGUGUAUGUGUGUAUAUAUAUAUAUAUACACAUGCAUGCACAUAUGUACAUAUAUGUGUAUGAAACAAGUGUUUAUUAAAAUUCAGAAAAUAGAAACAUCAUUUUUUGGCCAAAUAAUUGUCAUUCGGGCUUUAGUCUAUGUUCUUUGGGUUGUUUGAGGGUAGAUGAUAUAGGAAGUUUUAGUUUUUGAACUUUAUUUAGUACCUGGAGGAUACUGUGAGGCUGCUAGAUAUAUGGUAGACAAAUGUUAGUCUUUGUUUUAUAACAUCUGCAUAGGAUUUGCUAAUAGGCAUACAUUUUUGAAGAUCAAACCGAUAUAGACAAAGGUGAAAACACUUUACGUUGGUAAAUUGAAUUCCUAUACUGAGUCCAUUUGGGAUGUAUUUGGUUGAUGGGGAUUAUAUUUUUACUUUGAUUCAUGUAUCGAAGAUAAAUGUCAUUUUAUAAAACAUUUUUGAAUAUGUAACUUCUGUCAAUUUUGAAAAUAUGUUUUUAUUGAAAUGUUAAAGGUAGAAUUACUGUUUGAACAUAGGUGCAGUAGAAUGAGCAUAUUCAUGAGUUUGGCUUGAUUUUAAGGGUUUUUGUUUAUUUUUGUGUUUUGAGUUUUUUAAUUAGAUCUUUUUUGUUAGUAUAUGUCAUUGCCAUUCAUAUUUUUAAAUAUGUAACUUGUAUGAUUUUUCUUAUCUAAUUUUUUGAUUGAUAAAUGUUGGGACAGAGCAGGGAAGCAUUUGACUGCUGUAUAUAUGAUAGACAAGCUUCUUGUAUAACAUCUUAACUUCCUAGGCAUGUAGAAACAUCCUCUUCAUAUGCAGGCACAUGCACACACACAUGAACACACACACACACUCUAAAUAUAUUCAUGUUGAACUAUAGUUAUCUUUAAAACACCUUUUCUUUCUAGAAAUGUAGACAUUGCUGAUAGAAUAUACUUUUAAAUAUCAGGAACUUUUUUAUCAGUAUAGUAAUUAGCGUUUUUUGCAUGUUCAGUGGUUUGUGGUGACGGAUAUGGACAAGGGUGUUGGAUGUUUUCUGAUCUCAUGUCUGUAGUAUAUGAUGCUUUAGCUUUAUUCUUUUUGGUUUAUAGAGAUUGUGGACAUCCGUAUGUUUCAGUCAUGCGGUUUUAAACUGUAAGGUUGAAACGCUUAACUUUUGCAAAUGUUUUUAGAAACUAUAUGGCUUGGUCUUUUUUUUUUUAAAUAACUGAGUUUAUAAUAGUUGCUUUAUAACGUUUUGAGUGUGAAUGUAUAGAACUGUUGAUAAACGGAAUGAUAGAGGUUAGAACCAGUUUCUUUUGAUAUUUUUAGUUCACCCAUAUGGAGUCUUCAUUGGACUGCUGGGAUCCUUAAAGACAAAUUACCAUAAUUGAGUUAAAACUCUCUGAGCUAUAUUCUUGUUCCUUAUGUAUAUAUUAUCAUGUUAGGGAGAAGAUCGUGACAUUUAAAAGUUCUUUUACAUCAUAUUUUCAUUUAAAAGAAAAAUUAGAUUAUAAACAUUAAAUUGUUUCCAUUUUAUAUAAAAAUAUCUGUCAGUUUCAGGAACAUGUAGGUAUAUCUUAUUUUCCAGGUGUACUGAAGUUAAUUAUGCAAUUCAGUUUUCUAAAGAACAUUUUAUAAAAUCUCUGAGUUAUGUACUUCUUUGUUUAUCUGUUACAUGGCAAUAACCAAGAUAAUUUUGUAAAUAAUGGCAAGUAAGAUAGUUAAUUUUAAAUAUCUAGUAUUUCUACAUGUAUUGAGAGUCUCACAAAGUAUAAUUUUGUAAAUAUUCAUUGUAAAUGUGUUCUCUUGUCUUCUAAAAUUAACGUGGCAAUGAAACUGAUUGUUGAUAAACAGACUCUUGGGGUUAUACAAAAUUAAUCGUAUAUUAAUUUGGUCGUUAGAAGGAAUUGACAGGAUUUUGCGUUUACCUCAUUCUCAUAUAGAAGAAUAGUUUCUAUUGUAUCAAAUAUGAAUUGUAUAUUAAAAAAACUUAGACAAUGUAAAUUUAUGUGGUAUUUCUGGAUGUAGUGAACUUCCUCACUUAUUUCUUUAAUGUUGCUUAAUUUUUUUAGAACAGUUUUAGGUUCACAGCAAAAUUGAAGGGAAGGUACAGAGAUUUCCCUUAGACCUUUUACCGCAACACAUCUGUAAUCAUCCCCUUUAUCAGCAUUCUCCAACAGAGUAGUACAUUUGUUACAAUUGGUGAACCUACAUUGAUACAUUGCAAUCACUCAAAACUCAUAGUUUAUGUUACGGUUUACUGUUGGUGUUGUACAUUCUAUGGGUUUGGACAAAUCUGUGAUAACUUGGAUCCAUCACUGCCCCGAAAGUCCUCCGUGCUCUGCCUAUUCAUACCUCCCCAUAUAUUUUUUUCUUUUGUUUUUAACAUUCAGCAUAUAAAUGACUUUAUCAAGGAGAUUUUCUACUACCUCUUGGAACUAUACACAGUUCUGUAUGUGUUCCCUUGGUUGCAUGACAAUAUUCAAGACAACUUUGUAAAUAAUAGGAUGUAAAUUUUUAAUUUUUAACAUCUAGUUUUUCUAGAUGUGUAGAGUCUCACAAAGUAUAAUUUUGUAAAUAAUUCAUU